CAAAUAAAUAAAUGGUGCCCUCGCCCCGCUACACACUUCCCGCACCAAGCUUGGGAGAGUUUGACAAAUGACACACAGACACGCAAAGUUCAAAUGGCAAGAUCUUGGAUUUAUUCAAAGAAAGGCAGAGUAUAUAUUAUGCUUGGCACACGACAGAGACAAUGGGUUAACUAGUGAUUGGCUAGGUGGAAGGGCAUAUUCGCAUAAGACGGGAAGCAUAUCAGUGUAAGACUGGAACAACACCAUAUAUGGUUUUCAGGCAUUCGUAGGAAUACGAACAAAUGUUAUUCAGGAAGGUGUGUAAACGCGUGCAGAUGGUAUUCAGGGAAAAAAGGAAUGCGCAAAUGGUGAGGGGCUUUAUCCGUCUGUACCCGAGUUAACACGGGAACAAAGAGAAAAAACGUGCCGAGGGGGCGGGGGGAGAGGAGUGUUCACAGUAAACUUAUCAAUUGUGUAAAGUAACCGAAAAUGAACAAAUGAAACACACCCGAACAAAUUUAUCCCGCUGGCAAAAAGUCGAUGCACACAAGAGGAGAAAAUGACUUGGCGGAGGAUUGUAUCUGUUCAAAUCAGUCGAAAAGGAAGCUAUCAUCGGUGCCGAUAAGCUCCCGGAUGAAAUCACGAUCUUGAACUCAGGCGCGGAUGUAGUCUGUGUGAAGGACGUUCACAUGCCGACUUGAACCAAACUCGGUACUAUUUGAAGAUGAGUUCACAAAGCCAUGAUUUGUAGCGCACCCACUCAUCACCUCUCCUCCUCUAAUUAAUCUCAGGCUCGAGUGGAGGCGUCAUGGGGAGAAACCGAUCACGGAUCAGAGGCUGAGCCACAGGCAGAACCAGGCCGUCGGCAUUCGGAGGGGAGCGUGGGAGUGAGCGAGUGAUGCUGAUAGCGGGCGGGCUGACAUUAUACUCAAUGGAGUCCCAGACUGAAGCAUUCCCGAGGAGAAGUGCAUAAAUGUAACGUCUUGGUCAGGUUGGAUCUCCCCUCUCACAGGUGUAUAAUAUUCUCCACGUACACCCACCACCUUCAGAUUCCUGUUCGUAGCUCAUCGGCUUCAGGGUUCAGCUUCAGGUGUCGCACGUUCCGAGAUUCACUCCUGCUCACCACGUUUGUAAAGAGUAAAGUUUACCGUAGCCUCCCUGUCAGCUCGAAACAUUUCUUCUCUCUGGCUAUUCACCUCGAAGCUCUAUCGUCAACAAGGCGUCUCUGUCCACGUCACUGACGUUCACUGGAUGUUUUUUGUUUUUCGCACCAUUCUGUCUAAACCAUGAAGACAGUUAGAGUUUUAACCCUUAGCAAGAUUCCAAUCAGUAUGCAUCGAGUGAACAUUUCAGGAGCCGAGAUGAAUAACAGGAGGGCUGAAGCACCCUUAGAUAAGGUUUACAAUCGCCUAGACUCGCGACCCUGACCUUGCGUCAAUGGAUUUGACCCAAAGAGCAUGAAAAUCAAGACUCAAACACUGCUCCCCAGAGCGCAUUAGCAGUGUCAUGACUGCGUGACUCCUGCAAGAACGCAAAGGAAAACAAUCAAUUUAAACUUCAUUGCUGAUGCAUUAUGGACUAUGUUUUUCAAGCUUAUAUCCCAUAUGCAUGGGUUUCCUCUGGGUUGUCUGGUUUCGUCCCGCCUCCAGAAAGCACGCUGUUAGGUGGACUGGCUACGCUAAAUUGCUCAUAGAUGUGAAUGAGUGUACAUGGUGCCCUGUGAUGGAAUGGUUCCCCAUCUAUGGUGCAUCCAGACUUGCUUCGAUAUGGACCCCGCAUCCACCACAACCCUGAAUAUAUCCCGCAGCGUGUUCAUACAACGGUGUGAACACGGACCGAAAAAAUAUUCUGACGGGGGGGGGACAAAAGCUUUUAAU
ensembl:lncRNA